rnacentral:misc_RNA from 1 species
CCUCCGACAACGUCACUGGUUCAUCCAGAGCACAUGUGCCACAUCUGGUGAAGGACUGUAUGAAGGACUUGACUGGCUCUCAAACAAUAUUGCCAACAAGGCGUAGAUGGGGUUUCCUUUGAGCUGGGAUUGGUUCUGGAAAUUCAUAUUGAUGUCAUUUGUCCAUUGUUUACGGGCAUUUUUGUUGGAUUACCUGAUCUAUACGAUGUUCCUAGUGGAUGAUUUCUAGGUUGGUGUUGGAUUCUGAAUAAUGAAAGAAAUUUUGAAGUAUUUGUCAUGUUAUAGACUCAAUAGCAUUGUUUUUAUGUAAUGAAUUAAUGAUGGUUCUUAAAAUAGGUGUAUUUGUAUGAGAAUCAUGUUUGUUAUUUGGAAUGGAUUGCUGAAAAGAAUUCACUUUGGG